AAUCAACGCUGGCGGCGUGCCUCAGACAUGCAAGUCGAACGCUGCUGUUCGCCUUCGGGUGGACAGCGGAGUGGCGCACGGGUGAGUAACACGUAGGUAAUCUACCUUUGGGUGGGAAUAACAGCCGGAAACGGCUGCUAAUACCGCAUAAUGCAGCGGCAUCACAUGAUGACAGUUGUUAAAGCGAGGGAUCGUAAGACCUCGCGCCUGAAGAGGAGCCUGCGGCAGAUUAGGUAGUUGGUGAGGUAAUGGCUCACCAAGCCUGCGAUCUGUAACCGGCCUGAGAGGGCGGUCGGUCACACUGACACUGACAUACGGGUCAGACUCCUACGGGAGGCAGCAGUCGGGAAUUUU
rnacentral:rRNA from 1 species